GAUCCUGGCUCAGAUUGAACGCUGGCGGAAUGCUUUACACAUGCAAGUCGAACGGUAGAGGGGGCAACCCCUCGAGAGUGGCGAACGGGUGAGUAAUAUAUCGGAACGUGCCCAGUCGUGGGGGAUAACGUAGCGAAAGUUACGCUAAUACCGCAUACGAUCUACGGAUGAAANCGGGGGAUCGCAAGACCUCGCGCGAUUGGAGCGGCCGAUAUCAGAUUAGGUAGUUGGUGGGGUAAAGGCUCACCAAGCCAACGAUCUGUAGCUGGUCUGAGAGGACGAUCAGCCACACUGGGACUGAGACACGGCCCAGACUCCUACGGGAGGCAGCAGUGGGGAAUUUUGGACAAUGGGGGCAACCCUGAUCCAGCAAUGCCGCGUGAGUGAAGAAGGCCUUCGGGUUGUAAAGCUCUUUUGUCAGGGAAGAAACAGCAGCUCUAACACAGUCUGCGAAUGACGGUACCUGAAGAAUAAGCACCGGCUAACUACGUG
rnacentral:rRNA from 1 species